UAUUCAGUUAUCAGUCUAUAUUCUGUGUGUGUGUAGCUAGUAUUGCUUCCGGUGUAGCUAGUUGCAGCUUGACAAGUUGCAGACGAGGUCGAUUCUAAAGAGCGCGAGGUGUCUUUCUUGAAGGUCUGCAUUGAGGUGAUGUCUGAUGAACUAACGAUGCCUUUCUGAUCGUCACCACAGUGAAGGUCUGCAUUGAGGUGAUGUCUGAUGAACUAACGAUGCCUUUCUGAUCGUCACCACAGUGAAGGUCUGCAUUGAGGUGAUGUCUGAUGAACUAACGAUGCCUUUCUGAUCGUCACCACAGUGAAGGUCUGCAUUGAGUGAAGGUCUGCAUUGAGGUGAUGUCUGAUGAACUAACGAUGCCUUUCUGAUCGUCACACCAGUGAAGGUCUGCAUUGAGGUGGAGCCUCCCGCUGGGUGCACGCCGUGUCUUGGACGCAGUGAUGGAGGGUCACAAGAGCUCCCUAAACACGGGCAAAAUGGUGGCCCUUGCUGCGGGGCUCUCCGUCGGGGCCACGGUGGGCUACAUCGUCUAUCGCCGCAUAAGCAGUGCCAACCACCCUGAUCAGGAGCCCAACACGCAGGUGUCCAAGGUGACACUUCCAGUAGAAGUUUAUCGGAACAUGUCCAGAUACCAAGCCACGUUUCUGGACACGGUGGCCCAGAAGUCCGGAGCUCAUGUGAGGAUUUUGCCAGAUCCCGGGGAGCCCGGCUGUAGGACGACUGUCUGCUUCCUGCUGCAGGGCUCUGAGGAGCAGGUCUUGCUGGCCCGCUGCGUCCUGCAGAACCUGGUCACGGACAGCGAGCCAGUCAGCGAGGCUUUGGAAGUUCCUCAGAUCGCCUUCGGACGAAUAAUAGGCCGCGGCGGAGAGAGUUUGAAACUGAUCACCAGGACCACGGGGGCCAAAGUAACUUGUUCCAAAGAGAAGACGCACGGCCCCGGGGCCACGGGCAACGUGACAAUCACAGGGACCAGACAGGAAGUGGAACAGGCCAAGGAGCUGAUUCUAGAAAAGGUCAGGGAGGACACGAUGGUGAGGACAAAGAUCUCGCAGUCGUCUGCCCUGCGCCAGAAGCGCGGCCACACCGCCGUACAUCAGAGGCCAGACGACGCAGGGACGGAGGCCCCAGCGGGAUUGAACAACAACAACAACAACGGCCCUUACUCGCAGACGGAGAGCAAUGGGCGUAUCCAUGCCAAUGGGACCACAGAACACCCAGAAACUAUUUUUGACAAGAUCGAGGAGCUUAAAAUCACCAACACAGCCAAUGACGAAGAGGAAGAGGAAGAGGAGGAGAGUGUCUCCACAGACUCUCUCUCUGAAAUUUCCAAGUUUGAAAUUCCCAGCCCAGACCUUAGCUUCCAGCCCGACGAACACCUCGAGGUUUAUGUUUCUGCGUCGGAGAACCCAAACCACUUUUGGAUCCAGAUCCUCGGGGUGCGUUCCCUUCAGCUGGACAAACUGAUGCAGGAGAUGAACCGCUUCUACAACAGUGGCAACCCCGGCGAGCAGAGGGUGGAGACCAUUGUGGUGGGGGACAUUGUGGCCGCUCCGUACCACGACCACGGUACAUGGAACAGGGCCAGGGUGCUGGGAGUGCUGGGCUCCGGACUGGUGGACCUCUACUACGUUGACUUUGGGGACAACGGGGAGCUGCCACGAGACGGCCUCUGCCGUAUGAGGAGUGACUUCCUCAGCUUACCAUUCCAAGCCAUUGAGUGCAACUUAGCAGGAGUGAGACCAAAAGGAGAGGUGUGGACUGAGGCCGCCUUGGAUGAGUUCGAGCAGCUGACAAGCUGCGCCUGCUGGAGACCCCUGCAGGCCAAACUGUGCAGCUACUCCCACUCUGACAUCUCCUCCUGGCCCAGCGUCAAGCUCUACGACAACAGCGUGGGUUGUUUUUAUUACUGUAGAUAUCGGCGAGGAGCUCGUACGGCUGGGCCAUGCCGUCAGCUUCCAGGAGGCGGUGAGCGGGAGGACCGAGGGCUGUCUCCAGAGGAUGCUGGUGAUGCACUAAACACACUGGAUUUGUUUUCCAUUGGCCUGAUUAACACUGCUGUCGGGAAGGUUUAACGAUGGUGGUUUUAUCUGAAGGCCAGUAUUUCUCGCUCCUGUUUAAUAUCUUUAAACCAGAUGUUCGGCCGAGUGAGAACGAGGGGUUUUAUUUAGAUUUAACGGACACUAAAGGAACAAUUAUUAUUUCUAUUGAAAUCAGGAAAUGUAAUAAGAAGACUUCUCUUUUUCUUUCAGAAAAUGAUUUGGCAACAAAGCAUCAAACAUUUUACUGUGAGAACUUUCAGGCGAGAGCCUCCUUUAUAAUCUUCAAACCUGGACUGAAAUAUUUGAAAACAUCCUCCAAUUGCUUUUUAAAAUUUUGUAUUAACUUGUACCCGCAGGCAGUGGAGCGGCUGUUUGAACCGUUUAUUGGACCAAAACAAUUCGACUUGAAACGCAUGGAAAUUGAGUUGGAAGAAACCAGACGAAAGUGUAUCUCAACCAAGCAAACAAACCAUCCAGCAGCUUCCAGUCACUAGUCUGAUAAGGACGCAUGUGAACAACCAAUCACAUUGUUCAAGCUCCAUUCAGUAUAAUAAAUGAGUAUUGGACCAAAAUGAAUUAAAAUAAGUAAUGUUCAGAUUUUUUUUUUAUCAAUAUAAAUACAAUCUUGUAUUUCCUAAUGAUUUGAAUCGUGUGUUUAUGCAAAUCACCACCUAAAUCAAGGACAAUUAAAAAUAGUUCACGAUAAAUAUUGUAGUUCAUUGGCUGUAGACCUAUUAGAACUAGACUGAUGUGAGAUUAACCAAGUGAAAACUUUAUCUUAUUAGAUCCAACUGAUUUUGAUGAAAUGCAUCAUUUGCAGUUAAAAAUGGGUAAUAAAUCUCAAUAUAUCGCAAAUACGUAUAUUGCAAUACUCAGCGUAUCGCAAAAUCUCAAUAAUAUUGUCUCCAUUAAGUACUGCGUCCUAGGGCCCCUGGAGAGAGACAGACAGACAGACAGACAGGCAGACAGACGUACGUAGAAACUGUUGUUCUUGUAAAAAGAAAAAAGAAACCGUCAGUCUGUGCUGCCUUCUGAAACAAGACGGCCACCAUGAAGUGACUUUUUCAUCGAACACAACGUAGCCGACUCGAUGCUGCCGCUGCGCCUUCUUCUUCUUCGCUCCAACCCUCUCAUCUUGGUUUCUUGUCCCCCGACAGGACGACGUGAUAGGAGCGUCAUCGGAGCUUAGUCUCUCCUGCAUCAGCUUAUCCGAAGCUGCUUCAAUCUCAGGAAGCGUAGACGAUGUCAUAGAAGACGAGCUGCUCUGAGACCAAAGACAUGA